rnacentral:rRNA from 1 species
UACGUAGGGGCCUAGCGUUGUCCGGAUUUAUUGGGCGUAAAGAGCUCGUAGGCGGUUCGGUAAGUCAGGUGUGAAAUCUCCACGCUCAACGUGGAGGCGCCACCUGAAACUGCCGUGACUCGAGUCCGGUAGGGGAGUGUGGAAUUCCCGGUGUAGCGGUGAAAUGCGCAGAUAUCGGGAGGAACACCAGUGGCGAAGGCGACAUCCUGGACCGGCAUUGACGCUGAGGCGCGAAAGCCAGGGGAGCAAAGCGGG